AAAGGAAUAGACGGGCACCCGCACAAGCAGUGGAGCAUGUUGUUUAAUUCGAAGCUACGCGAAGAACCUUACCUGGGCUUGACAUCCCGCUGACCGUCUUAGAGAUAAGAUUUUCCCUUCGGGGACAGCGGUGACAGGUGGUGCAUGGUUGUCGUCAGCUCGUGUCGUGAGAUGUUUGGUUAAGUCCAAUAACGAGCGCAACCCUUUUCUCUAAUUGCUAACAUUUAGUUGAGAACCUUAGAGAUACUGCCGUUAAUAAAACGGAGGAAGGUGGGGAUGACGUCAAAUCAUCAUGCCCCUUACGUCCAGGGCUACAGACGUGCUAUAAUGGUAGGUAUAAUGAGUCGCAAUACCGUGAGGUGGAGCUAAUCUCCAAAGCCUACCCCAGUUCGGAUUGAAGUCUGCAACUCGACUUCAUGAAGCUAGAAUUGCUAGUAAUCCCGAAUCAGAAUGUCGGGGUGAAUACGUUCCCGGGUGUUGUACACACCGCCCGU
rnacentral:rRNA from 1 species